rnacentral:siRNA from 1 species
AUAUAGAGCUUUUCUUUCAGACA